UUAAGUAUUUAUACAUACCGCUACCGAAGUUUUUCUACCACCGCCCAUGGAAGAAAAAGCUUUCUGAUGUUCGAGUUGUAGAAUUUUUUUAUUCUUCUGAUUCUUUUCGUGAUGAUCUUACUUUAUAAAUUUAACGUUCUCAUCAGCGACGAUGAAUCGACAGUUGUGGCAUUUAAACAUCACGAUCGGUCACUGGGUUGAAUUUAUAGCAAUGGUCUAAAAGCGGACUUCAAGGAUUGGCGGGAAUCGAAGCACGUGGAAUUCUAUAUAAGACCCGAAUCUUUAUUCACAAGGUCACUGGGUUGAAUUUAUAGCAAUGGUCUAAAAGCGGACUUCAAGGAUUGGCGGGAAUCGAAGCACGUGGAAUUCUAUAUAAGACCCGAAUCUUUAUUCACAAG